AUAUUUAUAUGAGCAGUACAUAAUCUAAAAUUGGAAUGAUACAUAGAAGAUUAACAUGGCCCCUGUGCAAGGAUGACACACAAAUUCAUGAAGCGUUCCAUAUUUUC